UCCCUCUCUCUUCUCUCUCUCCAAGAAUCAUCAAUACACAGUGUUGUAUUUAUUUAUAAACGAAGAUGAAGAAGUGCGACAAAUUGUGUCAUUACAGCAUAAACAUGAAACAAAAUCCCUCUUCGUUGGCACCACAAAAUCCCAAAAAUCAGAAUUUUUUUCAUCUUUUUUAAAUCAAGAAAGAGAAACAAAGAGGGGUUCAUCUGCACCACCCACCAAUCAAUUCAACUGCAUUGUUUCCCGGUGCCACAAAGGGUUUGUUCUUGGGGUUUGGAAGAAAAAAGAUGGAAUUUUUCGUUGUUUUUGUUGAAGUAAAGAAGGGAUAAAUUUGUGGGAAGUGAAAAAAGAUAAUGGGGUUAAGAGAGUGUGUGAUUUAGUGGUGAUCAGGUCUUCUGUUUGUGGAAGAAGAUCUGAAGAAACACGAGUGCUUCAAAGUUCCUAAAGUGUGUUAAUAUUGGUGAUGGGGCUGUUGGAAAGACUUAGUUGAUAUCUUACACUAGUAACACUUUCCCCACAGCGAGAAUUUAAGUUUUGGAUUAUGGGUUUUUGUUGAUUUUUAUUUUAUUUCAUGUUGUUGGUGUUCUUGAUUUGAUAUGUUAAAGAUUUUAAUGUUUCUUGAGCAUUUGUUAGUUAAUUUGGAUAGAUGUUUACCUGAUAAAAAGAUUAUGAAUUUACUUGAAUUUUCUGUUUUU